rnacentral:rRNA from 1 species
GGUCAGGUAGAGAAUACCAAGGCGCUUGAGAGAACUCGGGUGAAGGAACUAGGCAAAAUGGUGCCGUAACUUCGGGAGAAGGCACGCUGAUAUGUAGGUGAAGUCCCUCGCGGAUGGAGCUGAAAUCAGUCGAAGAUACCAGCUGGCUGCAACUGUUUAUUAAAAACACAGCACUGUGCAAACACGAAAGUGGACGUAUACGGUGUGACGCCUGCCCGGUGCCGGAAGGUUAAUUGAUGGGGUCAGCGCAAGCGAAGCUCUUGAUCGAAGCCCCGGUAAACGGCGGCCGUAACUAUAACGGUCCUAAGGUAGCGAAAUUCCUUGUCGGGUAAGUUCCGACCUGCACGAAUGGCGUAAUGAUGGCCAGGCUGUCUCCACCCGAGACUCAGUGAAAUUGAACUCGCUGUGAAGAUGCAGUGUACCCGCGGCAAGACGGAAAGACCCCGUGAACCUUUACUAUAGCUUGACACUGAACAUUGAGCCUUGAUGUGUAGGAUAGGUGGGAGGCUUUGAAGUGUGGACGCCAGUCUGCAUGGAGCCGACCUUGAAAUACCACCCUUUAAUGUUUGAUGUUCUAACGUGGACCCGUGAUCCGGGUUGCGGACAGUGUCUGGUGGGUAGUUUGACUGGGGCGGUCUCCUCCUAAAGAGUAACGGAGGAGCACGAAGGUUGGCUAAUCCUGGUCGGACAUCAGGAGGUUAGUGCAAUGGCAUAAGCCAGCUUGACUGCGAGCGUGACGGCGCGAGCAGGUGCGAAAGCAGGUCAUAGUGAUCCGGUGGUUCUGAAUGGAAGGGCCAUCGCUCAACGGAUAAAAGGUACUCCGGGGAUAACAGGCUGAUACCGCCCAAGAGUUCAUAUCGACGGCGGUGUUUGGCACCUCGAUGUCGGCUCAUCACAUCCUGGGGCUGAAGUAGGUCCCAAGGGUAUGGCUGUUCGCCAUUUAAAGUGGUACGCGAGCUGGGUUUAGAACGUCGUGAGACAGUUCGGUCCCUAUCUGCCGUGGGCGCUGGAGAACUGAGGGGGGCUGCUCCUAGUACGAGAGGACCGGAGUGGACGCAUCACUGGUGUUCGGGUUGUCAUGCCAAUGGCACUGCCCGGUAGCUAAAUGCGGAAGAGAUAAGUGCUGAAAGCAUCUAAGCACGAAACUUGCCCCGAGAUGAGUUCUCCCUGACCCUUUAAGGGUCCUGAAGGAACGUUGAAGACGACGACGUUGAUAGGCCGGGUGUGUAAGCGCAGCGAUGCGUUGAGCUAACCGGUACUAAUGAACCGUGAGGCUUAACCUUACAACGCCGAAGGUGUUU